UAAUUAGGUAGUAAGUGUUAAUAAUGUAUAAGCUCAUAUUGAAUGUACGUAUGUUCGUUAGAGACGGUCACACUGGACAAGCUCUCUUCCGUUUCAAAAGUGGCAUCAAUAAAGACGCGCUUCAAUACACGUCAUACAAAAUCAUUAAUGAUCUGCAUAUCAACGAUUAUUACAUGGUGUCAGAAGUGAAAAUAUCAAUUGCAAACUAAAAAGGAACAAAAUGGAGCGAGUUCUACAAGAAAUCGACUGCUCAAUGCAGGCAUAUGAGUGGCCAAAAUGGAAGAGGUCGUUUAUCAUGUACAUGAUGGCGUCAGGCAAAGACUCAGAGCCAGAAGCCAAAAAGAUUGCCACAUUCCUAUGGUUGGCUGGAUCAAAGGUCACGGAAAUAUACAGUACAUUGUUUCCCAACGAUGGAACCGCACAUGGCAUGGUCGGCACCAUGGUGUCGUCUUCAGACCCGUCUACCUCUGCCGCGGCAUUCGAUGACUACAGCAUCCCGUUCCGAAACAUCACAAUGGAAUCCUACAAAUUCAACAACAUUGUUCAAACUGAGGGACAGCCUUUCAUAGAGUUUGAGACGCAACUCCGCAAGCAGGUACAGUUAUGUGACUACAAAUGUGACUGUGGCCGAACAUACGAAGAACGUAUGUUGCUAGACCGCUUCAUAAUUGGCAUUCAAGAUAAAAGGCUGCAGCUUAAACUCCUUGAAUCAAAAAACAAGAAACUCGAGGAGAUCAUCACUGAGUGCAAAGCCUUUGAAGCGGCCGCAAAAAACAAUGAAUUUCUACGGAAUCCCCAUUAUGAAAAGUCCGUUGACGCAGUUGUCCGUCGCUGCUAUAAUUGCUGAGCAAUUUUCAAGUGCCGAGUGCCGUGCAAAGAAAAUGGCAUGUUACUAUUGCGGAAAAAUUGGACAUUUUUCCAAGUACUGCAAGCAGCAGAAAAAACGAGUGGAUAACAACAACUACAACAGCAGCAAUAGACGAGUGGAUAACAACAACAUCAGCAACAAACGAGUGGAUAACAACAACUACAAAAGCAAGCAGAUAGAUGUGGAUCGCAAGCAAGCAGCCGGAGCAGUUAUUAAUUGGAUAGAAUCAGGUAAAAAAUAAGCGAGUGCGGGCUAAACAGAGUAAGAUGGACGAAAACAUAUAAAAUAAAUGGAAAAAAUGUUACGUUUAAAGUGGACACAGGCGCUGAUGUUAACUGCAUCCCAAGUGAUUUAGUUAAAGAAUUAAAACUUGAAGUUAAAAAAGAAAACAUUCUAAUUUUUGACU